GCAGGUGAGAGCAGACAGCCGAGUGUCACCUGCCAGCUGUUUACCUGAUCGUCUUCUUUUUCGGUUUGUGUACAGGUGCACGUGUGGUGCGAUGGCCUACAGGAAUCUUUGCGCGACCGUCCUUAGAGAAAGCCGGACGCUGGACAGGUUAGGUCUGAAAGCCGCCGCAGCAGCUAAACGCGGCUAUUCCAGAGUAGCCGGCGCACCGUCGGAGGAUGACGAGAAGUCGACGCACUUCGGCUUUCAGACUGUCAAGGAGAGCGAGAAGACGCAGGCAGUGUACAACGUGUUCGAAAACGUGGCCAAUUCCUACGACCUGAUGAACGACGCGAUGAGCAUGGGCAUCCAUCGCAUCUGGAAAGACAUCUUCGUGCAAGAACUAGGGCCCACUCACGGCACCCGGCUCUUGGACUCCGCCGGUGGCACGGGCGACAUCACGUUUCGGUACAUUAAUUAUCUGAGGAACACGCCGAAUCCGCGCAAUGUGCGCAGCCACGUAACCGUGUGCGACAUCAAUCAGCACAUGCUGGACGUCGGGAGAAAGCGGGCAGGCAGCCUGGAUUUAUCAGGGAAUAGUAAUUGCGAUAUCGCGUGGAGGCAGGAGGAUGCGGAGAAGCUCUCCCUCCCGGACGAUUCUUUCUCCGCUUACACCAUAGCGUUCGGCGUAAGGAAUGUGACGCGCAUUGACAAGGUGCUUGUAGUGUUGUCCGAGGCGUACAGAGUAUUGCAGCCAGGAGGGAGAUUUUUAUGCCUAGAAUUCAGUCAUGUCGAGAAUAAACCUUUACAAUGGUUGUACGAUCAAUAUUCCUUUCAAAUAAUACCCGUGAUGGGACAAUUGAUCGUAGGGCAGUGGAAAGCUUAUCAAUACCUUGUAGAGAGCAUAAGAAAAUUUCCGAAACAAGAGGAUUUUAAGGACAUGAUCGAAUUCGCAGGAUUCAGAAAUGUGACGUAUCAAAAUCUUACGUUUGGUAUGGUCGCUAUUCACUCAGGAUUCAAGCUUUAAGCUGUCUCGUAACGGAACAAGGAGAUGGUAAUUUUUUAGGGGGACACAAACCUUACAAUUGCGGCAUUGUCAAACGGCGACAAUCGUAGCAAUUACGGCAAUAUCGAACAAAAUUGCGUACCGUCCCCGUUAAGUACACGAUCGUGUUGCAUAAAUAUACAUUUCGCGAUUAUGGUUACAAUUUCGUCAUUGCUGUACCGUCGUUUGGAUUGCAGUGUACAUACGAUAUGCCUCGUCAGUCAACUUCUAUCGGCAGUUAUUUUCUACGGCCGCGUGUAAUUUCUCUGCGAUAUUUACGCGGUAUCGCACAAGUACCAGUUAGGAACCCAUUUCUCUCCGUGCUAUUGUACAUUUCGGCCACCUGUCCGAGUGUGAAAUUUGCUUGCUUACUACGUAAUCGCUUUACGCCUGCAAUCCACCGUAUUGCGUAAGAGCCGUGCGACUCUUGGGUGCCUCGAACAUAAGGUGAUGCGACCGACGGUGCCUAUCGCGAUUUACGCUACUACGCAUUUCUGCACGGGUCGCUUCCGCAGAUCGCUCUUUCGUAAUUUCUGGUGGAUCUGGUGGACGCAAAGAGGUGCGGGCAAAGUGCUGAAAGUUGGCUUAAACACGCGCAGACGGAAACGAUUUAUUUUAAGAACUCCCGAGAUUACUUAAUCUGUUUAAUUAGUGUCGUUUAUUCGUUUUAAAAAAGUUCUACAGUU